rnacentral:ncRNA from 1 species
AGCUUUAUAAAGUUUGAUAGCCGCAAGGUUGUUGCUUUAUACCUCCCUGUUGGACUUGGCCGAGCUUCGCGCUCGGCCUUUUUU